CCGGCAGGCAGUCACAAGCAGCAGAACUUCGGGUUGGCUUAAUCCUGACCUUGGAAAGGAUCUCAUGAAGCAAAUAUGUGUCAGUUUUCCACUUUGUCUUUUCCUGUGUUAGAUUCUUGCCUUUAGCUUUACAAUACUGGACGAGUCUCCCAUUGCAAUAAAAAUAACUGCUGAUUGUUCACCUCUUCAUCCUA
rnacentral:sRNA from 1 species